rnacentral:lncRNA from 1 species
CAGUAUGGUUGAGCUAUAGAUGAUGUUGAUAAUGUAAUUUGGGAUUGCUUUAUACCAUAUGGUGCCUUUAUGGUUUGCUUUAUACUGUAUGAUAUCUGCCUUUUGAAGUUAAUUUCAGUAAUACAAAUCUUAUUUAAUUUUUGUCUGGUUGCCAAAAAUUGUUAUGCAUGUUGGAAGCGAACAAGAAUGGACACCAGUCACAUAAAACUAUAGCACACUCCAGCACGUGCUUUUUCAAAAUGGUUGGACAUGGACACAUUAAGUACACGCCAAUUUAAAUUCUUUAAAACUAUUGAUAUUUAUUUAAUAUCAUAUAUUUUAUGCUGUCUUAUUUUUCAAAAAAUUAAAUAUUCUUUAGCUUAGGUUUUUGUACAUGCAAUAUUUUGAAUAAGAUGAUUGUUAUUUGUUGUAAUAAGAUGCUUUGGGUUAAACUAUAUGUUGCUUCUGACAGAUAAAGAAAAAUACAUACGAUAUUGAAUUUUUCUCACAUUUUUUGAAUAUUUUACACAAAUGUUUUAAUUCCACUCCAGUAUUUACGUUAUGGGGCUGUGUCACUGACAUGUUCCUUGUGGGUUAAAAACUCUAAAGAAUGAUAAAAAUCUGAACGGGUAACAUGACUCGAUGAACACGCGUCCUAGGGGCUUUUUGAGAGGUGUCCCUUGAGUGUCAGAAUUUUUUUAUAAAAAAGGGGCGCACCAUGCGGUGUAUCGGACACUGAGAAACAACCGCAGUAGGAGUGUGUGUGUGUGUUAUUGCUUGGAAUUAUGUAUUUUGCUAGCAGUACAAGUUCCAAUUUACCAGUGCUAUCAUUCGAACUUUACAUUGUCUAAUGACCAUUCUUCUUGUCGUUUUCCUUU